rnacentral:misc_RNA from 1 species
GUGAAUCAUCGAAUUUUUGAACGCAAAUUGCACUCUCUGGUAUUCCGGAGAGUAUGCCUGUUUGAGGGUCAUUUUAAAUAAAAAUCAGUGUGGUGGCUGCCUUUCGUGAUGACGCACCGAAUUUUGUACGUCGUGCCUUCGUUUGAUUGACCUAUUAUGGUGCAUGAUUUUCUGCGAACUUUUUUAAAUUAAUGGACGUACGUUUGCGGUAGCGAUU